GCAAGUGUGGGGCAGGGGGCAGGAAGUCAGAUCAGGGCUGACGGGAAAGCUUUUCCCUCCUCCGAGGCCUCGAAAGGACUUAGGAAAAGGUGAGACAUGAUGGCAGAAAGGGGUGCCACCUGCCCCUCCCAACUCACCAUGCCGGGCGAUGACAUCAACAUCAAUCACUGCACAGCCCAGCUGCUGGAACACCUGAAUCACCGAGCUCUUGCCCGAGGCAAUACCCCCUGUGAGGCCCACCAGGAACAUCUUCCCAGGAAAGAGGUGGCCAGUGAGAAUGCCAAACCAGGAGCCGGGGAAUCACCGAAGUAAGGCACACUUGGCUGGAUGGGACGGCCCACCCUGGGAAUGCCAGCAGGACCUGCCUGGGGACGACAGCAGGCCUGAUCACCAGCACUGCCUGGGUGGCUACUCUACACUGAGAAGAAUCCUCCCUCCUCAACCAAGAGGCCCAGAUGGGGAGCUCAGAGGAAGCAGUGGCUCCAUGGCCUGAGAGGCCUGAGAGGUCAUUUGCAGGCUGGAUGAGAAAACACAUAGGAAGCCCUCCGGACACUGCCAUUUCUACAGUGACUGUUCAGGAGAGGAGUGAAAAGGGAGCUGGGGGAUGGAAGGCGGGUGCUGAAGUCACAUUGCAAGGCAUGGACACUAAAACAGAUGUUCGUGAAGUUACGUCCCCAUUCUCACAGCCUCAGACUAUCUCGCAAAAGACUUCUAAAGUCGUGGGAUACCUGGGUGGCUCAGUGAUUGAGCACCUGCCAUCGGCCCAGGGCAUGAUCCUAGGGUUAUGGGAUCGAGUCCCGCAUUGGGCUCCCACAGGGAGCCUACCUCUCCCUCUGCCUAUGUCUCUGCUUCUCUCUCUGUGUCUCUCAUGAAUAAAUAAAUAAAGUCUAAAGAAUUGUAAAGUCGUGUUGCAUUUUCUGGAGUAAAUAGGGUUACCAUGUCUCGGACUUUGCUCCCAGGCUGGAAGAAAUUAAAUUGAAGGCCAAGUCUCUCCCAUCCUUCCCCCAGCAUCAAAUCAUUUCUCUAGGACCUUGAAAUCUGU